GGAAAGCAAAACCCUUUGCUUUGCCUGGAAAUGCUGAAGCUUCUUGGGUUUUAAUUACCCCUUUUCGUUUCAAUUACUGGGUUUUCUGGCUUGUCCGGUUGAUCUUCGUAGGUUCGUAUGCCAAAUUGCAUUUGUUC